AAUUUGUGUCCAACAAAAGAAUGUAAUUAUUGAAAGAAUGUUUAAGAUUUUACCUUUUAUGUUUCAUGAUACACAUAUUUACAGGUCAUUAUAAAUAUGUUGGAUAUUGGUGCAUGCGCAUCAUUCGUUUAUCGCGCCUGCGUAUAACCUUAAAAUUCACGCGGAUUUAUGGCAUCCGGUAAUCGUACGGACUAAUCCAGGACUAAUCCGAGUAUGAAUUUUUGGAUUCGUCGUUUAGUUUCAUAAAAAGUAAACAUGUCGUCGUCCGAGGAGGAGAGCGAUAAAUUAACAGAUUUGGAAGCGAUCCGUGACAAAAUGUUAAGCGAACCGCGAACCGAACGUAUGCAAGUGAGUGCUUGGGAGGACGACGAUGACGGAGUAGAGGUUGAACGCAACGCAAAAGAGCCCGAUGAAAAUGAAAUUCUUUGCGCAGCUGAAAAAGGUGAUCUAGAAAAAAUCAAAAUAUUAUUAAUAAAAAAUCCUUGUUUGUUGCAAUGCAUGGAUAAGGAUGGCUACACUCCGCUUCACAGAGCCUGCUAUGGCAAUCACAUAGAAGUUGUGGAAUAUUUGCUUAGAGCUGGUGCAAAGAUAGACGCAAAAACUAUGGACGAAUGGCAACCGCUACAUUCUGCAUGCUGUUGGAAUAACGUUGAAAGUGCUGCACUUUUAAUUGCAAAUGGAGCAAAUAUAAAUGCUAAGAGCAAAGGAGAUCAGACGCCUCUGCAUUUAGUAUCCGCGAGCUCCCACAAUUCUCCUGCUCUGCAACUUCUUCUUCUGCACCCGGAUACAAAUCCUCGCUUAAUAAAUUCAAGUGGGGAUACGGCAGAACAAAUUGCGAGGCGAACAGGAAAGUAUUAUCCGAUGUUUGAGAUAAUUGAAGACUGUCUGAAUAUCAUUUGAGCCAUAGGCCGUUUAAAAUUUCGGUAAAUCUGUGGAUUGUUGAAAUCGAUCUUUUCGCUGGUGUAAUCUGCCAAGACGAAUGGAAAUACGGGAUACUGCAUCAAGUCGUUGUACGAACGGCCAGCUAACUUGUUCAGACAAGUGAUAUAUUCCCAAUUGGUUAAAGCUCCGCUUCGCCAGAGGGUGAUGGCUUCGUUCAAAUCGUCGCCAGGUACUCGCCUUGCCGUCCACCCAGAGGACAACCUCGACCACGGCGCUGCGUUUGUUUAAAACGGUAUCCUUGAAAUUCAGUGCCAAGUGAUGCCACCGCCCAGAAGGAAGCAUCCCAGUUACCGAUGUUUCGGAAACCGUACGAUUCGUUUUGUC